rnacentral:sRNA from 1 species
AGCCACCAAAUUGUUCAUAUAUAAUUGUCUAUGUUGACUUAAAUGGCUCUGAUAAUAUAACAGUAAAAUAUGGGCUCAGGUCACUGUGAAAAGUUCACUGAGUAUUUGGAGAUCUCUGAGUUAAGAAGUAAAUUAAUAAGGUUAGAGGGAAAGUAGCAAAAGGCCUUGUGGACAUGAGAGGGUAAUUUGAGUUGGAUAUGAUCAACAUACGGUAUAUAUGCAUGUUUGAGAGAAUCAACGAAUAAAUAAAACAUGUUAAUGAAUAAGGCAGGUUUAUGGGUGCGAAGCAAAAUGAGAUCACCAGGAGGACAGCAGAUAAUUUUCUUCUUCCUUUUUGAAAGAAGAACCUUCCUCUAUCCAAAGGAUCCCCAGUGAUUCUCUUUCCAUUCAUACCAGGUCAGAGUCGCCAUGAUGCUGGAGGCAUUGUGCUGAGUGAAAGAGGACAGAGCAGAAGACUACGCGCUGGUCCGGUGACACAGCUCAGCCAGGAGAAUGCCUGCAAAGCAAGCAGAAAGUUCUGAGUUCUGCAGUGCUGUAUAAAGCUGUGUGGAGGUGCAGGUCUGUGAUCUCAGCCCCUAGGAGGUGGAGAACCACAGCUAGGAGACAGAAAGCCCUUCCUGCAUAUCGCCCUAGUUAUCAUCAGCUCACAUAAUUACCUGUGCCUGGGAACCUACAAAAAUUUUCAAAACGUUGGAUGAAAACCCUUACAGAUUCCUAAGCAACAGCACAGAGCACUCAGUGGAAGAUGAUGAUGUCUUCAGUUCGGUGGACUGAAAGAGCAGCUUUCUAAUUGUCAUAAAGCCGAGCAUCAGUCUGAAGCUGUAUGACUUCCAAGAUUUGAUGAAUUUCUGAAGUUGUUUGUCUCAGAACUCUGGCCAUGUUAGCCACUUGAAGCAUGGAAAUCUGACUAGAACAGCAGCACCAAGGCCUCCGAUCUUGUUCCCUGUCUGUGAAAAGUCAUCUCCAGACACCUUCUCUCAGGGCUGAACGUCAGGGAAUCACUUGGCUAGUUCUUGAAUCCGUGGGAUCCAAGGAGAAUCUGGCACUACAAUAUGUAUUAUGUCUGGGCUGGACUGUCAAACUUAAAACAAACAAACAAAAGCAAUUGACCAUUUAAUUAAAAUGAAAUCUCAUCAGGAGAACCCAGCACAAAUAGUAAAUGAACAACUCCCAGCCAUGCCUGAUCUCUUAUGCUUGCCCCCUUGGACAAAGGAAAGGACAUAAUUUAAAACAAAGAAACAACCAACGACUUAUCCAUUUGGACAUUAAAAGAAGUCGCCAUCAUCUCUUCAGCCGCAUAUCCCCUAGAAGUUUAGUUAAUUUAUUAAAACAACGGUUCACAUGGAGCCUUCAGGCCAUAUGACAACACUGGGACUUUUCUUUCAGCCUCUCGUCUCAACUAGGUCAGCUUCCCUUACUUUAGUCAGAGAAGCCAAACUCAAUAGAUGAGCCUGCCAAGAGAAGGGAAUAACAAUGGACACCACACUCUCACAGGUGGCACCAGGCAAACAGCAUAAAGACCUAUUGUUAGAGGUGAGGGGCUCUGAGGGGUCAGACAAAGCUCAGCCUCACCUUCUGAAAGCAGAGAGUAUAGAAGAGCCUCUAUCCCCUGCUUCAAGAGAACAGCGAAUGAGGAAAAAAUGUCCCAUCCCUCUUUUGUGAGCCCAACUGGCGGGGAUCUCAGAAAACAUGCUGGUAAACAUAGCUGUGGUUAGUGGUGCUACAGAAUCCAGAAAGGAAAAUAAACCCAAAAUACAGCUAACCUGAGCACAGACAGCUCUGUGCAAGGGAUUUAGUGACAGUCAAACUUAACCCUUCUGAUUUGGUUCCCAGAGAUAUUUUUCAUUUUCAUUCUGUGACGUUGCAAGAAAGGGAGCCAACCCAGUGUAGGAAUGACUGUCCUAAAGUCACAUUGCUUUUCUGACUCGGUGACUUUGCCACUAGAAUUUAGCCCAAGUAAACAAUGAAAGAUGUCAACUAUUACUGCUUGAAAUUACGAGUUAAUGGACCAAAUAAAGAAAAAGUUGAGAAGGAGGAACAAUGGUGGCAUAAUCUACCCAAACAUAGCUGUGUGAUUACAAAGUAGAACUCGCCUAAAUGCCUUCCUGAUUAAAAAUUGGGACUGUAUCCUCAGUCGAAGGAAUACUACACAGUACGUGAUAUGUGGUUAUGUGAUAGAAAUAUAUGUAUAAGAAGAUGCUCAUAGUAUGCUAUGUAUUAUGUUUGUACACAUCUAUACAUACACAUUCAAGAAUACAUCUAAUUGGGAAAAUUCAAGGGAUUAAAAGAGUUUGUCUCCA